rnacentral:sRNA from 1 species
GCGACGUGGGUGGUGCCUUGGAUCCCCAGUGUGAUGAGGCCACAGGUCAAUGCCACUGCCGCCAGCACAUGGUUGGGCGACGCUGUGAGCAGGUGCAACCUGGCUACUUCCGGCCCUUCCUGGACCACCUAAUUUGGGAGGCUGAGGACACCCGAGGGCAGGUGCUCGAUGUGGUGGAGCGCCUGGUGACCCUUGGGGAAACUCCAUCCUGGACUGGCUCAGGCUUUGUGCGGCUACAGGAAGGUCAGACCCUGGAGUUCCUGGUGGCCUCUGUGCCGAAGGCCAUGGACUAUGACCUGCUGCUGCGCUUAGAGCCCCAGGUUAGACCCUGUUAUCUAAUGUGGAGCUGAGCCUCUGGAUGUGGGAGCCUCUCCUCCAUCAUCCUGUUUUCCCAGGUCCCUGAGCAAU